UACGAAGGGGGCUAGCGUUGUUCGGAAUUACUGGGCGUAAAGCGCGCGCAGGCGGCUAUCCAAGUCAGUGGUGAAAGCCCGGAGCUCAACUCCGGAACUGCCAUUGAAACUGUUUAGCUUGAGGACGAGAGAGGUGAGUGGAAUUCCCAGUGUAGAGGUGAAAUUCGUAGAUAUUGGGAAGAACACCGGUGGCGAAGGCGGCUCCCUGGCUCGUAACUGACGCUCAGGCGCGACAGCGUGGGGAUCAAACAGG
rnacentral:rRNA from 1 species